AAGCAGCUUUAUGGUUUUCUGGAGAGUCCAGGGUGUGGACUUGAAACUCUGAGCUUGGCGGACUGUAAUUUGUCAGAGAUCAGCUUUGAUUAUGUGGCAGCAGCACUGAAGUCCAACCCCUCCCAUCUGAGAGUGCUGGACCUGAGUCGCAACAAUAAGCUGCAGGAUUCAGGAGUGAAGCAGCUGUGUGGUUUUCUGGAGAGUCCAGGUUGUGGACUUGAAACUCUGAGAUUGUGGCGCUGUGGUUCCUCAGAGAUCAGCUGUGAUUAUUUGGCAGCAGCGCUGAAG